GCCUCCCGUCCGGCUGGAAGAACAACCAGAACUUCCGCAGCACGGUCCACUUCCUCUCCCUCACCUGCACCCGCGCCAGCCCCCUCUACCCCUUCGCCCCGAGCUGCUCCCGCUCGCGCGCCCGCAUCCGGUCCUCGCGCCGCGCCGCGACGAGCUCCCUCCUCCUCAGGCCCUCCCUCCCCGAGAGCUGCCGGCGCCGCGCCUCCAGCGCGUGCCGCGUCUCCAGCAGCAGCCGCCACCGGCGCAGCGCGAGCCUCAUCCGCCUCCGCUACAUGACCGCCUCGCCCGCCAUCUCCAGCUGCCGGCGCCGGAAGAAGAGCACCUAGCGGUCGUACUGCAACCGGCGGUAGCCCCGCGCCACCGGCCUCCCCUCCCUCCUCCCCUAGCCCCAGUCCCCAACC
rnacentral:rRNA from 1 species